GGGCUUCUGUUUCCUAAAUAAUAGGUCUCCCUCUUCUGUUUGCAUGGAUAGGAUUCUGAACAUUCUGCUUUCUGGGGUUUUUUUUGGUUAUCUAGACGUUAUCAAUCCAUUCCAACUCAGUUUUGGAGGAUUUCAGCGAGGAUUUUAAGCUCCCUGGCUUGUCAUGGAGGGUCCCUACGAAACAUCCAGCAAUGGUGAAGCUGCAAGUUCCAAUCUUCAGAUCAUUAGAUAUUCUCCGUUCCAACCCUUCACCAAAUUUUCCUCGCCUUGGUUUGAUUUUAGAGUGUUUUAUGUCAGGAUCAGUAAUUUCCAGGUUGAUGCUUCAACCCCAGAAUUUUUCACUCUCAACCAUAUCCCUCUGAGCCCAGACACCCUUUUGGAAGUGAAUGGUGCUAGAAGUAGCAUGUAUGCUGAUGGUGUCUCUUCCCUUCUCAGAAGGGAUCGUGUGGAUAAGAAAUCUGAAGAAGCUACAUUUGUUAGCACAGA
rnacentral:misc_RNA from 1 species